GUUUGCAGCACAGAGGGUUCGCUAACCCGACUCAGUGUUCCAUUGUCACAAGGAACAUGCCACCAUUCUAACACAACCUCAUUUGUCCGACUGUCAUUGUGGCACGUGCAUAUGAUGUCAUACAUUUCAUUCAUAGACACAUGUAUGUAGUUGUUCAGUGACAUCAUCAACA
rnacentral:lncRNA from 1 species